CUGUCAGCACUUGUUAACUGUGUGAAAUAGAAGGGAGGCAGGGCCGUACCUGCGGGCACACAGCAACUUCGGGCAGAGCUGGAGUCGCAGCCCACGCCUCGGCCGUGGCAGGCAGUCCUGCGAGUCUGGUCUGGGUCUCUGUGACCCUGACAAGGGCUGGGGCUCCACAGGAUGAUCCCUGAGUCCUGGUGCUGACUGUUUACAUAGAAGGGGAGGAGCAGGCCGACCCAGCGACCCGUUCCUGCUGUUCGGCAGGCACGAGCUGGGACUGCUCCAGGCAUGAAGGCCUGGCUUCGUGCCAGGAUGUGGAAGCCACACAGGCAGACGGCUCCCAGGCCGGGCCUCCAGGAGCCAGGGCAGAGCAGAGAAGAACCGAAACCCUUCAGUCCAGCCAAAUAGAGACCACACAGCCCAGACAGUCCCUGGGACCUGAUUCUAAGCUUCGUCCCUACUGCUCCUCAGCCCCACCAUCUAGGACUAGGUCUUCAAACCACACCCCUCCCACCCCCCACCUUAUACCCACAAGAGACAGCAAAAUCUUUGAUUCGUUUUUCCUUCUGCCCCUGGCGCCUGGGUUCCUGGCCCCGGUGGCUAAUGGCCAUGUGGGACCCCACACAUGGACGGAUGGGCUGGAAUGAGCUCGGGGGCUGAACUGCACCGGCUGCAACUCUGGACACUGGCCUGCUUUGGGCUCUCCCGGAACCCCAGCUGCGCCCUUCCCAGGACUGGCUUCUCUCAGUAAACUUUGCUUCC